GUCAAUGCGGGCGGGUGGAUGUCUACUCCUCGAAGCAGUGAAGUUCAUGGAAGCUGCCUGCUACAACCAUCUAAAUUUCUAACUAGGACUAUUCCAAAUUUCUGUACAAAUCCUUUAUAUAUAGAGAGACCAAGAAGCAGCAGAGUGACAAGAGAAGAGAAGAGAGCGGUGAGUGCAACAAUCUUCAUUUUGCCAUGGCUUGGGGGUGCCACAUGAACAUGGUUCUUCUGCUUGUUAUAUUGGAGAUCAUUUUGCUCAUCACCAUGGCGCCGUCUGGAGUGUUGGCGCGUCCGAGCGCGAGACCGACAAAGGGAAUGGGCGAUCCCAACUGUCCGGCAUGUAUAGAAUAUCCUUGUAAAUGUUGAAAGUUUAUGGACUUUUGGCCCAUUUAACUUUUCAUUCCUGAAAAAUCACAUACUCAUUAAUGGUUGCAUGGCAUGAGAAAAUUAAAUCCCGCGGAGAGAGUGGAGGUGAGUUGACACGAACGGCAUCUCUCUCACUCCUCUAUAAAGCAUGAUUAGAGGACUAAUAUCCUCCGCUUAUGUCUUCGAUCUUCGAUUUCGAUGAUGACUACUUCGACAAUCUUAUAUUAUUCCUCCAUGUAAUAAGAAUCCCUUGAUGCGGCAGCAAUUUUGUUAGCCAUCCAGGAGCAUGUUUGCAUCCUAUUUUUAUUGUUUCUAUGUUUUUGUGUUGUGUAAAGACUACUAGUCCGGCGAUUUGAUGCAGCAUUUUGUUGCGCAUGCAACCUUGCACUGUAGUAACUGAUGAUCUCACAUGUAUGACCAGGCUCCGUGUAUGUAUGAAAAAAAAGUUAAAGGGGAUCAGGUUUUUAUAUUA